UACGAAGGGGGCUAGCGUUGCUCGGAAUCACUGGGCGUAAAGGGUGCGUAGGCGGGCCAUUAAGUCAGUGGUGAAAGCUCCGAGCUUAACUCGGAAACUGCCAUUGAUACUAUUGGUCUUGAAUUCGGUCGAGGUUGGCGGAAUGUGUCGUGUAGCGGUGAAAUGCUUAGAUAUGACACAGAACACCGAUUGCGAAGGCAGCUAGCUAGACCGACAUUGACGCUGAGGCACGAAAGCGUGGGGAGCAAACAGG
rnacentral:rRNA from 1 species